AACAGAUUGAGUGUAUCCCUUAUGGGAAAUGCUUGGGACCAGAACCAUUCUGGGUUUUGGACUUAUUUGCAUAUACUGGAAGCAAUGCCUGUGUACCACUUCUCUCCUGAAACUGCCAAUCCCAGUGUGGUUUUCUUACACCACAAGGCAGAGUCACUCUUCCUGCAGGGCUGACAUAAUUUCUGGGUGUUGCAUAAUGUGGAGCAGGAACACAGAGAAGUCGUGGGGUUCAUCCCCAAAGAAGGACCUGCUGCUGCCAACAUCCACAGAAGGAAAGCCAUGGGGGAAGAUGGCGGCGAGAGUUGGAAGAAGAGGGCGAAACCAGUGUUGAAGACCCAUGGAAAUGGACAUCAACAGCAGUCAUCAAUGAAAACCAGAAUGGGGUGGAGGACAUCAUUUGUGUUGAGAGAUUGCUGAAGAACUGGGCUGUGGCCGAAGAGCGAUUGAGUAAAUGGUCCUCAAGAUUGGAAAAUGUGCGCCAAGUGAGUUCUUUAUCCAUUAGCAGAGGAUACUUAAAAUAAUUUAAAAAGCAAAUGUUAUUUGUUACCUGCCCCUCCUCGCGAUUCAAGAAGACACUAUGUCAGGCAGCAUUUGAAGUCCGCAAGGACACAUUCGGGAUGAGACCUGUGCAUACAUGUAUGAUCCCAAGAACUGGGGCGCAUCUAUUUAUUUAUUUACGAUAUUUCUACCCCGUCUUUAUCGAAUGCAAAGGUGACUCAAGGCGGCUUUACAACAUAGGCAACUAUUCGAUGCCAUUAAAACAAGGUUCAAAAAGCCAUGUUUUUACUUUUCUGCAAGAGGUCAAGAGGGAAGGGACUGAUCUAAUAUCCCUAGGGAAUUCCACAGCAGAGGGGCCACCACUGAGAAGGCCCUGUCUCGUCCGCGCCAGUCGUACCUGUGAAGAAGGUGGGACCGAAAGCAGGGCCUCCCCAGAUGAUCUUAAACUCCUAGAUGGUUCAUAGGGAGAGUGCUUGAGACACCCAAAUGUUGCAAGGAAUAAGUGUGUGGGCCCUGAACUUCCUGCUUACGUGAACAUGUUGUGCUACUGAGAUAUAAACAAGGAUAAACCAGUUGGCUCUUUCACUCAACCAGUUGGCUCUUUCGCAGAAGGAGGCGUCUUACAUUCUGGAAGUGAUAAGAGACAUGUUUUCCCCGGAGGUCAGCUGUGGUGACAGUGCAAAAAGUGGAUUGCCCUUUAACUUUUAUAUUCAGUUUCACCCAAAGAGCUAUGGAAAUCUUUUUGGAGUUCUAAAAGUUUGGAUGUAAAAAAGCUUCUGAAGGAGGGGAAGGUGCCUUUGUUAACUCUGUGGGUUAAUUCUACACCGUAGAAUUAAUGCACUUUGAUACCACUUUUAACUACCAUAGCUCAAUGUUCUGGAAUCCUGGGAUUAGCCCUUUUUGGUAAAGACCUUGUUAACAAUAAUUUCUAUGAAUCCAUAGCAUUGAGCCAUGGCAGUUACAAUACUGUAAAACUACAUGAUUUCUACAGUAUAGAUGCACUCUAUGUUUAUGGUAGUGUUGCUGAUUUUCCUCUAUUAGCACCUGAAAAACUUGUGUAACGACUUCUUGGAAUUCUGGUUAACUUUUGCCCAACUAACAAUCAGUUAAUGUUUACUCAGAAGUUCAACUGAGCUGAAUGGAGCUUAAUUCUGAGAAAACACAUACUGUAUGACCAUAUGUUCUUGUAUCUGUCUCUUCCCUUUGUUUUACUUAAUAGCAACAUUAUAUUCAAAUUCUCAUUCACCAGUGCUUUUCUCUGAAAUUCAACCUGUGAAAAAUGAAGCUACUAGCAAGCGUUCAUUGCAUGUCUCUGGAGCUGAUUUCGUGAUUCAGCAGCUCUCAGGAAAGGAUAUGAAAUAAAUAAGGCAAGAGCUAUUAGAAAGCAAUAUCAAUCAUAUAACACAAUCCACUUCCUCUAACCUACUUUCCUGGCUCUGUGAUUACUUCAUGUUUUUCCUCUUGUGUGAGGUCACCAACAGGGUUACUGUCAGCUAAAACAGUUUGUUCCAUGUGUUGGUUAGAUGUUUGCAUAGUGAUGUGGAGGGAAAUUUUCUGAACUUGUGAUGAUUCAUAAUUUGUUUCCUAAAACUAAGGACAUUGCUUUUUUUUUACAAAUAGCUUUUUGGAAUUCUUAUGAAUAUAAAUUUUCCUGAGUUCACAAUUGAAAUAUUGGAUCAUGUCACAGAUAUCCAAGUAUUUGAAAUCUAAUAGCCAAAAUGAUACACGAAUGCCCUGUACUUUCAUGCUAGAAAGCUGUUUAUCUAUCAGAAUUGCUUUUUCUAAAGCAGGGACAAAAGGUUUAGGUGGAGUACCAUGCAAAGAUAAACAACUAAUUUGCCUGCAACCAAGCUUUGUACAGAGAUCUUGUACAAUAAACUUAUCUGCCCUCAC